rnacentral:lncRNA from 1 species
GUCGACAGCAUCAACGUCACGUCCAUCAUCGGCGGCAAUAAUUUCGCUAAGAGCAUUGUGGUCGGCCUUUUUAGCGGCGGUCCACCAUGGAGUUUCAUACUCCGCCACCACAUCUUUAGCUAUAUAAUCUGAUGGGACCCAUGAAGGGGUAUGGCCAUCUUUCCAUUCUAUCAAGUACUCCAUGCCUGUCCCAUCUUGAAGAGCUUUGCUACCAAUGAUCUUGCUAACUUCGCCGUAAGAUUCGUCAUCUUCAGUAGCGCGGUUGUUUUUGGUGUUAUCUUUAAGUGGGUUCUGUGUUUCUUGGUUUUGCAGGGCAAAAAGUGUGAAGCUUGGCUUCUGAAUAUGGGUUGUUCUUAGGUUUGGGAAUUGAUGGGAGAAGAAAGAGGACGAAUGGAUUGUGAGAUUUGGAGAGAUUUUGAGACGAGAAAGGCAUUGAUUAGCAAGCAGGCUCUCCAUUAAAA